AGGGAGAUAGCUAGGUUAUAUGGCAGUUUUUAAUUUUUUGAGGAAUGUUCAGACUAUUCUUCAUAAUGGCUGUACUAAUUUACAUUCCCACUAACAAU
rnacentral:pre_miRNA from 1 species